rnacentral:rRNA from 1 species
AUUGAACGCUGGCGGCAGGCCUAACACAUGCAAGUCGAGCGGUUGACGGGAGCUUGCUCCCUGAUUCAGCGGCGGACGGGUGAGUAAUGCCUAGGAAUCUGCCUAUUAGUGGGGGACAACGUUUCGAAAGGAACGCUAAUACCGCAUACGUCCUACGGGAGAAAGCAGGGGACCUUCGGGCCUUGCGCUAAUAGAUGAGCCUGGGUCGGAUUAGCUUGUUGGUGAGGUAAUGGCUCACCAAGGCGACGAUCCGUAACUGGUCUGAGAGGAUGAUCAGUCAAACUGGAACUGGGACACGGUCCAGACUCCUACGGGAGGCAGCAGUGGGGAAUAUUGGACAAUGGGCGAAAGCCUGAUCCAGCCAUGCCGCGUGUGUGAAGAAGGUCUUCGGAUUGUAAAGCACUUUAAGUUGGGAGGAAGGGUUGUAGAUUAAUACUCUGCAAUUUUGACGUUACCGACAGAAUAAGCACCGGCUAACUCUGUGCCAGCAGCCGCCGUAA